GGAGAGCAAAGCCAGUGAGCUUGGAACGGGCAUCAGCACUUUUUCUUAGAGCAGGAGACAGACCUUCCUUGUGAACUGAAAACUCUGGUGCUCCACAGCUGACACACGUACCCCACCAGGUGGACUCCAGUGCUGCACACUCAUCCAAGGCGAUGCACACAGAAUAAGCACAAGGCAAUGAGCACAGCAGAUAGACCAGAUUUUCUAAAGCUGAAGGAAGACUGUU
rnacentral:lncRNA from 1 species